rnacentral:rRNA from 1 species
GAACCGUGCUAACAUUGUUCGGAAUCACUGGGCUUAAAGGGCGCGUAGGCGGGCAGGCAAGUCGAAGGUGAAAUCCCACGGCUCAACCGUGGAAGUGCCCCCGAUACUGCCUGUCUGGAGGGGGAUAGGGGCGUGCGGAACUUCCGGUGGAGCGGUGAAAUGCGUAGAUAUCGGAAGGAACACCGGUGGCGAAAGCGGCGCGCUGGAUCUCUUCUGACGCUGAGGCGCGAAAGCCAGGGGAGCGAACGGGAUUAGAUACCCCGGUAGUCCUGGCCCUAAACGUUGGGUACUAGGUAGUGGUCUUACAUGGGUUCACUGCCGAAGCAAAAGUGUUAAGUACCCCGCCUGGGGAGUAUGGUCGCAAGGCUGAA